GUUGCUUCUUUAUUGACUGAGUGACCUAUAUUGGCCAUUCACAAUAAAAGGCAUAUAUUUAAAAAAAAUUGGCCAGUAUUAAACACUGUGAUGCUUUACUAUAGCAUCAUGUUACCUGUCUCCUGGUAAAUAA